rnacentral:rRNA from 1 species
CCGACUUCAGGUACCCCAGACUUCCAUGGCUUGACGGGCGGUGUGUACAAGGCCCGGGAACGUAUUCACCGCGCCAUGGCUGAUGCGCGAUUACUAGCGAUUCCAGCUUCAUAGAGUCGAGUUGCAGACUCCAAUCCGAACUGAGACCGGCUUUCGAGAUUCGCAUCCUGUCACCAGGUAGCUGCCCUCUGUACCGGCCAUUGUAUUACGUGUGUGGCCCAAGACGUAAGGGCCGUGAUGAUUUGACGUCAUCCCCACCUUCCUCUCUACUUGCGUAGGCAGUCCCAACAGAGUCCCCAACUGAAUGAUGGCAACUGUUGGCAGGGGUUGCGCUCGUUGCAGGACUUAACCUAACACCUCACGGCACGAGCUGACGACAACCAUGCAGCACCUUGAAAAUUGCCCGAAGGAGGAUCUAUUUCUAAAUCUGUCAAUUCCCAUUUAAGUCUUGGUAAGGUUCCUCGCGUAUCAUCGAAUUAAACCACAUAAUCCACCGCUUGUGCGGGCCCCCGUCAAUUCCUUUGAGUUUCAUCCUUGCGGACGUACUCCCCAGGUGGCUAACUUAUCACUUUCGCUUGGUCUCUGAACCCGAAGAUCCAAAAACGAGUUAGCAUCGUUUACGGCGUGGACUACCAGGGUAUCUAAUCCUGUUCGCUCCCCACGCUUUCGUCCAUCAGCGUCAGUUAAGUCUUAGUGACCUGCCUUCGCAAUCGGUGUUCUAAGUAAUAUCUAUGCAUUUCACCGCUACACUACUUAUUCCAGCCACUUCAAAUUUACUCAAGGCCUGCAGUAUCAAUGGCAGUUUCAUAGUUAAGCUAUGAGAUUUCACCACUGACUUACAGGCCCGCCUACGGACCCUUUAAACCCAAUAAAUCCGGAUAACGCUCGCACCCUCCGUAUUACCGCGGCUGCUGGCACGGAGUUAGCCGGUGCUUAUUCGUACAGUACCUUCAGCUGCCCUCACGAGGGCAGGUUUAUCCCUGUACAAAAGAAGUUUACAAUCCAUAGAACCGUCAUCCUUCACGCGGGAUGGCUGGAUCAGGCUUCCGCCCAUUGUCCAAUAUUCCUCACUGCUGCCUCCCGUAGGAGUCUGGUCCGUGUCUCAGUACCAGUGUGGGGGAUCUCCCUCUCAGGACCCCUAAAGAUCAUCGACUUGGUGGGCCGUUACCCCGCCAACUAUCUAAUCCGACAUCGGCUCAUUCAAUCGCGCAAGGUCCGAAGAUCCCCUGCUUUCACCCGUAGGUCGUAUGCGGUAUUAGCGUAAGUUUCCCUACGUUAUCCCCCACGACAGAGUAGAUUCCGAUGUAUUCCUCACCCGUCCGCCACUCGCCACCCAUAAGAGCAAGCUCUUACUGUGCUGCCGUCGACUGCA